CCCAUGUGAGUAAGGUACGGCAAAUAAAAAGACAUGAUUGACCAUAUCCUUUCCACUUGGGAUAAGGUAAUAAGCCAGAAAAGCAAACGUACACGAAAAUUGUGUUUAGUUAAAUGAGGGAUAGAGAGAAUAAUAAUGUUUUGGAAACACAGCAUAUUGAAAUUCUCUUUUCCACUUGGGAUUACGUACGGGGAAAAGGAAAACACUUUAAUAGAAGGCUGCAGAUUUACAAAAUUAUAUUUUCCGGAGGAAUCCACGAACUUCAGUAAGAAAGUUAAGCAGAUUCUUUCUAAACUUCUGGUAAUUUGGCCGAUCAAGUGCCGAAGACAGACUGUUGGAGCUUGUGAGUGAUUGGAGUGCAUUUGUCAACCUUGAUCUGAAACCUGUGUCACACUGCUUCUCUAUCAGUUCACUUCCCAACUUCUGCACCAAAUGUCAACUUGUUUCACUCAGUAACCAUUUUAAUAUAAAAAACAAAAUUUAACUAUAUACAGUUAUUCAAGAUUGUGGCUUAUGCCUGGUAUAAAGUUUGUUCACAAAGGAUUAAUGGAAGAAGAGCAUCCGCAGCUGAGCCAACCAGAUCAGUGCUGAAAUUUAAAAAUAAAAAAGAAGAAUCAAAUACUAGGGCAUAGCAACAGUUUCCAUAAACACCCCAAAUUAACUAUGGAUCAUAUACUAGUCCUCCAAACAUUAAAUCCUUCAGCCUCUGCUGGUUACGUUUUUUUUUUCCAACUCACCUGUAAUCCUGAAAGAGGAGAAACUGUAGCAAUGAUCGAAGAAAUUGGCUCAGAAUCCCUUCCUGAAAGUUUCCUGUCUGAUCCUUGUAACCUGAAGCAUGGAGACCUAACCCCACUUCUCCAGCACUUUUUUGCUUGUAAUGGAAAGAAGCAAGCCCUUUUAUAGCUCUUAGACAUAAAUCAACAACCUCUGCAUCCUAUCACACAAACAACAGAACACAGUGAUCUUGGCUUCUACCUCUAGUAGUAUCAUAAGGCACAAC
rnacentral:lncRNA from 1 species